AUGAAGUCAUCCAGGCCUGUAGUUUCUAGCGCUAGCUGGACUACCAGACAUGGUGGUCUGUCCUGAACUCUGGGUCAUUGUGUUCAAACCUACAAGUUUCCUGAGAACAAGUUUUCUGGAACGACUAGUGAAUGCAGAGGGCAAGCAUGAUCUCAGACUCAAACCCUGCCUAUAUUCUCCAGAUUUGGGAUUUUCUUCUGAUUGUCUUUGAAAGCCUGGAAGGAAGUUAGAGUAGACAGACAGCUGGAUACGGAUAAGGAAGGAAGACACGCAAACAAAUCCAGCUCCAGGGCUUUCUUAGGGACCUCGGAAAAGGUGGGAUGCAAGUUUUGAGAACAGGAUGACAGCCCCACAAAGUCAAACGAACCCCAUCCCAACCCAUCACCAAAUUGGGUCAAGUCCAGAGGCACUCUGGCCUGACUGACUACUGGAGCCUGCCUCUUCGCACUGUUCUUUCUUACAACAUCUCCCUGGAGCUGGCCUAUUGCGCAACACCAGGAAAUGGUCCAUAUGAAACCUUGGCCCGCAGAGCGUACAUGUUCUGGUUUUUAUUCUGCAGCUCUUUUAUAAUACGUGUUUUCCUUUCCCAUAAUGUCAUCUGGAAGCAAUUCCUCCCAACAGCUGGAUCUGCUUUCGGAAUCGGUAAACACGUAAAAUGGAAGGCUGUGGAAGAUUCGGAGACUCGGCAGAGGAGCUGCUUCUCCGCCUGCUUGGCUCGCGUUCUGAGGCUUAUCUGGGGUCUCCUCACAAGCCUCAUCAAAACCCAGAGUGUCUUCAAACAGGCAACCCGCACCGAAUUCCCUUCUUCAGAGGGUCAACAUGUUCUCUGGUGGAGAAAUUUUCUGAAUGCCUUGCUGAUAAAAUUGAUCAGAUGCAGGCCAGAUCGCUAGCUGCCAAGAUCUGCAGGCUCCAUGUGGAGGCCAGCCCCCCAGAACAUUCCCAGCAUCCCCACACCUCCCUGCGGCCAGCGUCUUAGAGUCCCCUGGGAUAUCUUCCCAAGAGCACAGUUUUCCGGUACCGCUGCCACCAACGCCCAUCAAGUGAAGACCAGAGCCAAAGACUAAAUGUGAUUGAUCCUCGGGAACAAUUUUCCAUGCAGACACAAGACGGAGACCUACCGGGUUAUGGAGAGGAGCCCAAGAACUCAGCUGUCCAUCCCGGGUUGGCGCUCUCUCUCUCUCUCUCUCUCUCUCUCUCUCUCUCUCUCUCUCUCUCUCUCUCUCUCUCUCUCUCCACUCUACCCCCAGGGAACAGGGGCUCACCCGAGCAUAGCUAGUUCUGGUACAGGGAGUCCAGGGGCUUGUGUCAGCCUGAAUACAGAAUAGGGGACAAAGCUUAGGCUCUGUAUCUUCUACAUAAGAAGUGCAAUUCUUUUGAUGGAAAUUUCCAGCAUGGGGGGAGGUUGGGGUGGGGAUGAUGACAAGCUGAGCACAUGGUCCACUUUCAGAGCGAGCUUGGAAAAGUAUGCCUGUGAAUACCUAUCCAGCUGCAGAGAGGGUCACACACAGGGCUGGUCCCCUUCUGAGCUGGUACAAGACGGUUCCUCCUAGAACCAGUCACCUUUUAGGUAGCCAGCGCUCCAUUCACCUCUCCCCUGCAACACACACAUACAAAGGGGAUUCGCUAGCCUCAUGGGGUCUGACUUCAGAGUUCUCUAGAUAGAGGUGUGUGAUGGGUAACUUUGACUAGUUACCUGGGAAGAGAGUCUCAAUGAGGGAGUGCCCCCUCCCUCUGGUUGACCUGUGGGCAUAUCCACUGGUUAGGAGUGGGAUGUCUCAAUUAGUUCAGUGAAGUAGGAAGGUCCACUCCGAAUGAGGGCAGCAGUAUUUCAUGGUCUGGGUCUUGAACUGUGUGACUGUGUCAAGAGCUGGGGAGAUGCUCAGAGGUUACAACUAUAUGCUGCUCUAGCUGAGGACCAGGGUUCGGUUCCCAGCACCCAGCAGCAGAUUCACAACUAGCUGAAAUUCCAGCUCCAAGGGACCCACUUCCUUCUUCUGUCUUCUGAGGGCACCUAUGUGCACAUACCCAAACAUAUAUACAAAAUUAAAAAUAUUAUGAAUUUUCGGGGUUGGGGAUUUAGCUCAGUGAUAGAGCGCUUGCCUAGGAAGCACAAGGCCCUGGGUUCGGUCCCCAGCUCCAAAAAAAAGAACAAAAAAAAAAUAUUAUGGAUUUUCAUCCAGGCAUUAUGCCAUAGGCCUUUAAUCUCAGCACGUGGCAAGCAGAUGCAUGCAGAUCUCUGUGAAUUCGAGGCUAGCCUUGUUGGUGAGGCUAGUUUCCAGCCAACCAGGACUGCAUAGCAAGACCUUAAUCUCUCUCUCUCUCUCUCUCUCUCUCUCUCUCUCUCUCUCACACACACACACACACACACACACACACACACACAAAA